GAAGCUGCAUGAGGACCUUGCUUAUCUUCUCUAUCAAUACCUAGCUCAGUGCUGGGCACGUCAAAGACCCUCAGUAAAUACUUGCUAAAUAUAUGGAUUAAUGAAGAAAGAAUAUAGAGCUCUGUCAAGGUCAGCAAUUUGGGCAGGGCUCAGCUGGGAUGGUUUCACUUCUGCUCCACAUUGUUUUGGCUGAACUCCUGUAUGCAUUCCACAGCCAUGAUGAAGAAAUCAGGAUUGAAUUUUCCUCUCUUUCAUAAAUCAACUAGAAAACUGAAUGAAAUAAGAAAGAACUGCAUUCAAAUAUUGAACUGCAAGAAGUGAAUAAUCACAGUUCCUAGCAGGAGGGGAAAAAGUGAGCUUCAUCUAGAACAUGGUUAAGACGUGACAAUGGAAAUUUGGGCGUGACCUAGAAACAUCUCCAGCUGUCUGUGGCCCAGCUGGUUCUAGGACAAAGAUUGAAGCCAGAAUAUUUGGAAGAGUCCACGUCACUGAAAUGCAAGGAGCUGAUGUAAGAGUGUACUUCAGGGCCGUGCUCUCUGUGGAAUUAGGGAAAUGUUAAUAAAGACUUCAAAACUCACAACCAAAGAGCUCCAAGGGACAUAGAUGCCAGCCAAAAGAAACAGAACACUACCAUAUGUUACUGAAAAUGAUUUCACCUCGGGAAGGCUUUAUGCAACUAAUUCAAGCAUGUAAAUAUAUGUUAACUUACCAAAUGUUCACAAUGGAACUUCUUUCUUUACAAGAGGAGCAUGCGCAGAUCUCUUGAGAGGGACGGCUCUCUGUAUGCAGAGCAAAUUUUUAAAAUAAGAAAUAUGACAAAUAAAGCCCUUGGCAUACCGGCUGGCAUAGUGCAUCUUAAAACUGACAAUUGUUGAGCUUCAGCAGUAUAUCA